rfam:Gossypium raimondii Chr10_contig_598, whole genome shotgun sequence.
AAUCCAUAGUGAGGGCACUUUCGUAUCACCAAUUGGAAAUGCUCUCAUGCCUCGUAUAUCGUUUCUUCUUCAAAUUGCUUAAAGUUGAUGAUAUUGUGUCUGAGUUG